rnacentral:rRNA from 1 species
UACGGAGGGUGCAAUCGUUACUCGGAAUCACUGGGCGUAAAGGGCGCGUAGGCGGCCUAGCAAGUCAGGUGUGAAAGCCCAGGGCUCAACCCUGGAAGGGCACUGGAAACUGUUAGGCUUGAGUUCCGGAGAGGAGGGGGGAAUUCCCGGUGUAGCGGUGAAAUGCGUAGAUAUCGGGAGGAAUACCGGUGGCGAAGGCGCCCCUCUGGACGGAAACUGACGCUGAGGCGCGAAAGCGUGGGGAGAAUACCGG